AAAAUGUUAAAUUUUCUCUAUGGUUAUUCUUUGUUUCGGGCUCGAUAUUGGACAACAGGCCUAUGCAUACGUGCGAGCAGCGUAUCAUCCUAUUACUAAUGGACUCCACUUAUGCGCUGAGAUAUGUUUAUUGUUUUACUGUCUGGAUUAGAACUGACAAAAUGGAAAACAUUAAAUAGGCCUAUAAUGUGAAAUACUGUGUUUACUUAACGGCAGCCUGUAUCAAAUAAGAAAGUUGUGAUUCUAACCUGAAGAGCUACCAAUCCCCAGCAUUCGAAUGCUCGUAUCUUUAGUCUUCAAUUGUUCAACAACAUGUUUUACAAACUCCGACUCGCUCAAC